rnacentral:rRNA from 1 species
AUCAGUAGCCGACCUGAGAGGGUGAUCGGCCACAUUGGAACUGAGACACGGUCCAAACUCCUACGGGAGGCAGCAGUGGGGAAUAUUGCACAAUGGGCGCAAGCCUGAUGCAGCAACGCCGCGUGAACGAUGAAGGUCUUCGGAUCGUAAAGUUCUGUUGCAGGGGAAGAUAAUGACGGUACCCUGUGAGGAAGCCCCGGCUAACUACGUGCCAGCAGCCGCGGUAAUACGUAGGGGGCUAGCGUUAUCCGGAUUUACUGGGCGUAAAGGGUGCGUAGGUGGUCUUUCAAGUCGGUGGUUAAAGGCUACGGCUCAACCGUAGUUAGCCUCCGAAACUGGAAGACUUGAGUGCAGGAGAGGAAAGUGGAAUUCCCAGUGUAGCGGUGAAAUGCGUAGAUAUUGGGAGGAACACCAGUAGCGAAGGCGGCUUUCUGGACUGCAACUGACACUGAGGCACGAAAGCGUGGGUAGCAAACAGGAUUAGAUACCCUGGUAGUCCACGCUGUAAACGAUGAGUACUAGGUGUCGGGGGUUACCCCCCUCGGUGCCGCAGCUAACGCAUUAAGUACUCCGCCUGGGGAGUACGCACGCAAGUGUGAAACUCAAAGGAAUUGACGGGGACCCGCACAAGUAGCGGAGCAUGUGGUUUAAUUCGAAGCAACGCGAAGAACCUUACCUAAGCUUGACAUCCCUUAGACCGGUGUUUAAUCACACCUUCCCUUCGGGGCUGAGGUGACAGGUGGUGCAUGGUUGUCGUCAGCUCGUGUCGUGAGAUGUUGGGUUAAGUCCCGCAACGAGCGCAACCCUUGUCUUUAGUUGCCAGCAUUCAGUUGGGCACUCUAGAGAGACUGCCAGGGAUAACCUGGAGGAAGGUGGGGAUGACGUCAAAUCAUCAUGCCCCUUAUGCUUAGGGCUACACACGUGCUACAAUGGGUGGUACAGAGG